UGGGAAAUUUCAAAUGUAGAAGAUCAUCCUUUAAUCUUUAAAAGUCCUCUGGCAGAAGCCACUCCUCCUGACGCUCAGCAGUCUGGCUGUGCAUUGCUCUUGGGGCUGCCUGAGUGGCAGCACAGGCCUGUCCUGCUGGUGACCUGCCCGCGCCUCCCUUGCAGGUCCUGCGCCUCGCUCAGCUCAUCACACAGGCCAAACACACAGCCAAGUCCAUCUCUGACCAGUGUGCGGAGAGCCCGGCUGGCCACUCCUUCCUCUCGUGGCUGGGCUUCAGCUCCAUGGACACCAAUGGCUCCUACACAGCCAACGACCUGGACGAGAUGGGGCAAGACAGCGUCCGGAAGACAGAUGAAUACCUGGAGAAGGCCCUGGAGUACCUGCGCCAGAUAUUCCGGCUCAGCGAAGCUCAGCUCAGGCAGUUCACACUCGCCUUGGGCACCACCCAGGAUGAGAAUGGAAAAAAGCAGCUCCCCGACUGCAUCGUGGGUGAGGACGGACUCAUCCUUACGCCCCUGGGGCGGUACCAGAUCAUCAAUGGGCUGCGAAGGUUUGAAAUUGAGUACCAGGGGGACCCGGAGCUGCAGCCCAU
rnacentral:sRNA from 1 species